AUGCAGUCGACGAUGACUGGAGCUUGCUCCAGGGAUUAGUGGCGAACGGGUGAGUAACACGUGAGUAACCUGCCCUUGACUCUGGGAUAAGCGCUAGAAAUGGCGUCUAAUACCGGAUACGAGCUUCAGCCGCAUGGCUAGGAGUUGGAAAGAAUUUUGGUCAAGGAUGGACUCGCGGCCUAUCAGCUAGUUGGUGAGGUAAUGGCUCACCAAGGCGACGACGGGUAGCCGGCCUGAGAGGGUGACCGGCCACACUGGGACUGAGACACGGCCCAGACUCCUACGGGAGGCAGCAGUGGGGAAUAUUGCACAAUGGGCGAAAGCCUGAUGCAGCAACGCCGCGUGAGGGAUGACGGCCUUCGGGUUGUAAACCUCUUUUAGUAGGGAAGAAGCGAAAGUGACGGUACCUGCAGAAAAAGCACCGGCUAACUACGUGCCAGCAGCCGCGGUAAUACGUAGGGUGCAAGCGUUGUCCGGAAUUAUUGGGCGUAAAGAGCUCGUAGGCGGUU
rnacentral:rRNA from 1 species